UACGAAGGGGGGCUAGCGUUGCUCGGAAUUACUGGGCGUAAAGGGCGCGUAGGCGGACAGUUUAGUCAGAGGUGAAAGCCCAGGGCUCAACCUUGGAAUUGCCUUUGAUACUGGCUGUCUUGAGUUCGGGAGAGGUGAGUGGAAUGCCGAGUGUAGAGGUGAAAUUCGUAGAUAUUCGGCGGAACACCAGUGGCGAAGGCGACUCACUGGCCCGAUACUGACGCUGAGGAGCGAAAGCGUGGGGAGCGAACAGG
rnacentral:rRNA from 1 species